ACAGGGCUGUGGUCUCUCAGGAAGGCAACAAGAAGAUGAGACUGCUGGGUCUUCUCCUGUGCCUGAUGACAGGUCCUCAUGAUGUCCUGUCCCAGGUUCAGCUGCAGGAGUCAAGGCCUGGUCUGGUGAAGCCCUCACAGAACCUGUCCCUCACCUGCUCAGUCUCUGGACUCUCUAUCACAAAUAGUCAUUACUGGUGGGACUGGAUCCGUCAGCCCCCAGGAAAGAGCCUGGAGUGGAUGGGGGUGAUAAGCUAUGAUGAUAGCACUGGCUACAACCCAUCUGUUAAGAGCCGCAUCUCCAUCUCCAGAGACACAGGCAAGAACCAGUUCUUUCUGCAGCUGACCUCUGUCACCACAGAGGACACAGCCAUCUAUUACUGUGCAAGACACAGUGAUUUGAUGGAAGUGUGA